AACGUAGGACACAAGCGUUAUCCGGAGUUACUGGGCGUAAAGGGCGCGUAGGCGGCAAUUCAAGUCAUCUGUGAAAUCUCCGGGCUUAACUCGGAAUGGUCAGGUGAUACUGCUUUGCUAGAGUGCAGAAGGGGCAAUCGGAAUUCUUGGUGUAGCGGUGAAAUGCGUAGAUAUCAAGAGGAACACCUGAGGUGAAGACGGGUUGCUGGGCUGACACGUGACGCUGAGGCGCGAAAGCUAGGGUAGCAAACGGG
rnacentral:rRNA from 1 species